AUUGAACGCUGGCGGCAUGCCUUACACAUGCAAGUCGAACGGUAACAGGUCUUCGGAUGCUGACGAGUGGCGAACGGGUGAGUAAUACAUCGGAACGUGCCUAGUAGUGGGGGAUAACUACUCGAAAGAGUGGCUAAUACCGCAUGAGAUCUACGGGUGAAAGCAGGGGAUCGCAAGACCUUGCGCUACUAGAGCGGCCGAUGGCAGAUUAGGUAGUUGGUGGGAUAAAAGCUUACCAAGCCGACGAUCUGUAGCUGGUCUGAGAGGACGAUCAGCCACACUGGGACUGAGACACGGCCCAGACUCCUACGGGAGGCAGCAGUGGGGAAUUUUGGACAAUGGGCGCAAGCCUGAUCCAGCAAUGCCGCGUGCAGGAUGAAGGCCUUCGGGUUGUAAACUGCUUUUGUACGGAACGAAAAGCCCCGGGUUAAUACCCUGGGGUCAUGACGGUACCGUAAGAAUAAGCACCGGCUAUCUACGUGCCAGCCGCCGCCGUAA
rnacentral:rRNA from 1 species